GUUGAAACAUUGGUUCCUGUACGAUCACCGAAGUUAAGCAACGUCGAUCCUGGUUAGUCCCUACAUGGGUGACCGUUUGGGAAUAACAGCUGCUGUAAG